ensembl:lncRNA
GGUGCCGAGCCGGAGCCGGGAGAGAGGAGCGAGCGCUGGAAGAGGCACCGCGCUGCCACAGCUGUGCGCGGCGAUCGGAGGAGCGCGGGCGGCGCCCUCCGAAGAUUUAACCCUUUGCCCGCAGAGCCUCGAGGUGGGCGAACACAAAGCACGUCGCGAAAGCCUCAGACCGAAAGGAUCCCGACCAUCACGGGAACGGCGCACGGCCAUAAGUCGGUAUCGCGCCGGCUGUGCCGUACGACCCCGGGACGGCGGCACACAGCAGAGGGACCCGGCCCGGCCCUGCCCCGUCCCUCGCCGCCGUGUGCCGCCGGGCACAUCGCUCCCACACAUGGUCCGCAUUUCGCACGGCAGCAGCGUGCUUCCUCCCGGCCUCACGUUGCCGCUCUCCGAACAGAGAGAGAGAGAGAGAGGGGAGAAAAAAAAAAAAAAGAAACAACACCAGAGGUUUAGAGGAAGUUAAAAAUCAGGCGAGCUAAGAAAUGCUCCCCGUUACACACAUCCUGCUUGAAAGCGAAAGCCCGGCGUUCCGGCCCUGCUCCCCGCCACUGGCGCCGGCGUUGGACGCGGCGAGGUGACCGCUCCGUGCUUGGGGCUCGCCGCUGCACCCCGUCCCCCUGCACCCUCGCCCCGGGGCCGGGCGCUGGGAGAGCAUCGCCCCGCGUCCCCCCUUCCCUUCCCUUCCCUUCCCUUCCCUUCCCUUCCC